ACCUCAUUCAUUGUGCAUAAUCUGAAAAAAGUUGACCAUCUGCAAAUGCCUCUGGGAUGAAAGAAUAUUGCAAAUAGUCAGGACGUUCCACCCCUCCACCAAACCAGAGGAUUACGUCUGUGGAAAGUUAAGCAUGUGUCUCCGCUGGAUUAGGGGCCACAUAAGGCCACUGCUUGCCUGGAUAACAACAGCCCAGUCCCACACCUGUGAUGAUGUGACUUGAUGACAGGACAUGAACCCUACAUGAUAAAAAGACUGAGAAGCACUGGUCUGCAAGAAGAAACAACAGAAGGAACUUCUGCAAUUUGGGAGUUAAAUAACAGCCUUUGCAAAUGACACUAUGGGAUAUUAAGGUUCAAGUUUUAAUUUAGACUGUUGUGGAUCAUAUUCUAAACUAAUAAAAAUUGGUGAAGUUUUACUGAUAUGCUAGUU
rnacentral:lncRNA from 1 species